CCUACGGGUGGCAGCAGUGGGGACUAUUGGGCAAUGGGCGCAAGCCUGACCCAGCAACGCCGCGUGAAGGAAGAAGGCUUUCGGGUUGUAAACUUCUUUUCUCAGGGACGAAGCAAGUGACGGUACCUGAGGAAUAAGCCACGGCUAACUACGUGCCAGCAGCCGCGGUAAUACGUAGGUGGCAAGCGUUAUCCGGAUUUACUGGGUGUAAGGGGCGUGUAGGCGGGAAAGCAAGUCAGAUGUGAAAACCAUGGGCUCAACCUGUGACCUGCAUUUGAAACUGUUUUUCUUUAGUACUGGAGAGGCAGACGGAAUUCCUAGGGUAGCGGUGAAAUGCGUAGAUAUAUGGAAGAACACCAGUGGCGAAAGCGGCUCUCUGGUCUGUAACUGACGCUGAGGUUCGAAAGCGUGGGUAGCAAACAGGAUUAGAUACCCCAGUAGUC
rnacentral:rRNA from 1 species